rnacentral:tmRNA from 1 species
GGGGGUGUACUGGUUUCGACGGGUUUGGAAGUCGAUUUUAAGGAGCACGUCCGGGAUGGAAACGUAACCCGGUUAUAAAUGCGUUUCAAAUUAGAAUUGACAACAAUUCUUACGCUCUCGCUGCUUAAGUAUUAGCAGUCGUUGAGAGGCCUAGUUGCUAGGACUAGCCUUGAGACGUACAAUCUUCUAGCUUACCAAAGAGUUUCUCCACCUGUGGAACUCCAGGGACACUCAAUCAGGUUGCGACUUUCGAUCAAUGGCCGUGCGGGUUGGAAGUAAGAGGAUUAUAACGGUACUAAGCGUGUAGCAGCCUUUGUUUGCCCAGGUUCGGACGCGGGUUCGAUUCCCGCCACCUCCACCA